AGGGAUUAACUACUCCGCACCAGACAGUCCAGUGCUAAAACCUAAAAGCCCAAGUGAUGAGAGAUAUACUUCGGAGGAAGUAGCUAGGGGAGGGGGAGGGCCCAAAACCAAGCCCAAUCCUGACUCAGUCUUUGAGCUGCGAAUCUAUGGCUGCGAUUGCAUCAUGGAGCCUCCGCAGCACUGCCCUGAUGCGGCGGGGAGUUGAGAGGUGGGGGCGAACUAAGGCUGGCAUCUGUUCCCCAUCUCUGCCCCCGGAAGGAUACUGCGUGGUUACUCAAAGCUAGAUGACAGCACCUGCCGCGAGGCCCCGCACCUCCUUGGUAUUAUUAUGGUAUUAGCUCUGCCUUAUCCGGGGGCGGGCAGAGUAAUGAGAUGCAAUGCUGCAAUUGCAGCCCUGAUCCAGCAGUUUUGAUUCUUCCCUACAGCUACAAGCAAUGGCUUCCAUCACUGCUCCCCCCGCCCCCAGCUGGAAGGCAGUAAAGUAAACAGGAAGUGGCCGUUUCUCCAAGGGGGCUGUAUGGGACUUCAGCUGUGGGGGUUUCUUAUCUGAGCUGGGAACCAUUCAGAUUGGGGCGUGGCUCUGCGCAGUCACUGCUUGGCGCUCUUGCGCGCUUGCUCUCUCUCGUUCCCCCUCCCAUCUCUUCCCCUCCCCCCUCCCUAUCUCUCUUUCCUUCUCCCAUUGCCUUCUCCCCUCCUCCUCUCUCCCCCAGUAGCUUUCUAUUAAGGGUGAUUACUUUACUAUGCCUCGGGGAUUUGUGUUGAGAGUUAGAAUUUAGGUUGAAGCCCGGCAUCCUGGUUGCAAACUAACAUUAAGCCUUCGGUGUGAUUGGAAGUUGUUAAACAAGCACAGGCACCGGUAGCCAGAGUUGGGGGGGAGGGGCAUCUCUUUGUUCCGUUGGUCUUACUUCUUUGUUUUGUUUUGUGUAACAUUGUCUUGUUCAAGACAAGGUCUCAUCCUGCUGCAGUGAUAACUAUCAGUAAUUCUCCUUGUUGUGUUUUAUACAAAUAAAGAGAAAAGGAAUAUGUCUGGUGAAUGUGCAGUCAGGUAUGGGGGGAGGGGGUGCCUCUGCGGGCCCAUGCUGAGGCAUCCCUUCCCCCUAAGGGACCAGCCACACUAACGACAGUAUAGUAUAGAAUAGAGUAUAUUCAGGGCAUGGGGAGGCGAGUUGAGAGGGUAGUAGAGACAGAGAAGGGCAGAGAGAGUAGAGGAGUAGAGUAGAGGUCGGCCAUGAGCACGUGGACGGGGGUAUGGAGUAAGAGCAAGAAGGCGAGAGGGAGGGGGUGAGAGAGAGGGAGGGAGAGAGAGAGAAGGGGGACAAGCAUCCCCUUUUAUAGUGAGUCUGGCACACCUGGCUAUUGUCGGGUAACUGUCGGGCGGAACCUAGAUAAAAUGCUACAGACACUUCUGCGACGAGGGAUUUGUUUUAUAGCGGUGAUGUGAUGGGGACUGGACCGAGGGUCUUGGGUGUAAGAACGGAAUAGUGGAAUUGAGCAGCUGCUCACAUUGCCUGCAGCAGCCCUCCCCCAUGCAAUCACAGACAAGCACUCCACUGAGAUAGUGUCUGCAAACCUCUAGCUCACAGACUUCCAGGUGCCAGCGUUUCUAACCUGGGCAAGUGAGCUUACAUCAAAGGCCCGGUUGGUGGCUAUACAUGCUGUUACGCCCCCCCCCCCGCGCGCCCGCCCCCUCACUGCCUUCUCCCUGGGAAUGAGAGCCUGGCCUGCCUCUCCACCUAAGAGGCACACAGGUCCACUUCUGCCACAUAGGCCCCUGAUUCUUCUCCUCCAAAUCCUUGCCGUUCCUGUUUUCUGUCCGUGGCGUUAAUAACUCUUCUAAUAAAUACAUCCCUUACUCGCAGCAGCCUGUCUCUGUAUCACUUUGAGCCCCACAUCCGAAUAUUUUUGGUGGGUAUGAUGUCAAGCUCUCCACUACUAAGCUACACCCCAAUUUUCGUUUUCAGUGUGUUCUAUUUUAAUUUUUAUUGUAUUUAUUCAUUGAUUCGGUGUCCUGCGCACGCGUAUACGUGCGCGCGUGUUCAUGCCUGUGGAGGUCAAAAAAUAAAUGGCAGGGAGAUGGUUCUUUCCCUCCACCAUGUGGACGGGUCCUAAGAUGGAACUCAGUUCCCUAAGCUUAGCAUCUGGAGAGCACUUUUACCGGCUAGAUUCAGCUGGCCCCGAGUUUUUUGGAUUUUGGUUUUAAACAGAAUGAAACUUCACUGUUUUGAGCUCCACUGUCUUUGACCUGUAAAACUGCAGUUUAUUUCUGUGCCCUGCCCCCCACCCCCCAACCCCGUUCCUUUGGGAAUAAAUCAGAAUGCCACUGUGGUCUUUUCUUUGUCCCUGGGCUCAUCACCAGAUUGAGUAAAGCUGCCUAGUGUGCCUGCCUCCUUGUCAGACAAACAGCAGAAGGGUGAGCACUAACUUCACGCACCGGAGUAUGCAUUUGGUUUUUUUCUGUGAAGAACAGCAGAUUCACUGUUCCCGCCGGACAGCCACUACAGGCUCCUGGGUCAAAGGCCUCCCUCCCUAGCUUCCUGGAAUUGUGAAUAUCUUUAUGCAGAUCAGGAUUGUUAUAACCUCUGUGGAUUCACUGGGUCCAGCCACACGUCACCCCCCACCCCCAGUCCAUUCCCUGAAGAUGGAGCUUGUUUGAGGAAAGAAUUUGAACCAGAGGGAAAACUCCAGUAAAGUUCAAGCAGAAUAGCCUUUGCCACCCAGGUACCCCAUCUGUUGGAAAACCCCACCCCUAGCUCACAGAACAGCAAUGGCUUGUGCUGUAAGAUCAAGAAUUGUCAAAUGGACCUCAUAAAAUUGCAAAGCUUCUGUA